UACGUAGGUGGCAAGCGUUGUCCGGAUUUACUGGGCGUAAAGAGCGCGCAGGCGGUCGUUCAAGUCGCGUGUGAAAGCCCCCGGCUCAACUGGGGAGGGUCACGCGAUACUGAUCGACUCGAAGGCAGGAGAGGGUAGUGGAAUUCCCGGUGUAGCGGUGAAAUGCGUAGAUAUCCGGAGGAACACCAGCGGCGAAGGCGGCAUCCUGGACUGGUCCUGACACUCAUGAGCGAAAGCGUGGGGAGCGAUCCGG
rnacentral:rRNA from 1 species